CCUACGGGAGGCAGCAGUGGGGAAUAUUGGACAAUGGGCGAAAGCCUGAUCCAGCAAUGCCGCGUGAGUGAUGAAGGCCUUAGGGUUGUAAAGCUCUUUUACCAGGGAUGAUAAUGACAGUACCUGGAGAAUAAGCUCCGGCUAACUCCGUGCCAGCAGCCGCGGUAAUACGGAGGGAGCUAGCGUUAUUCGGAAUUACUGGGCGUAAAGCGUACGUAGGCGGUUAUUCAAGUCAGAGGUGAAAGCCCGGGGCUCAACCCCGGAACUGCCUUUGAAACUAGAUAACUAGAGUCUUGGAGAGGUUAGUGGAAUUCCGAGUGUAGAGGUGAAAUUCGUAGAUAUUCGGAAGAACACCAGUGGCGAAGGCGACUAACUGGACAAGUACUGACGCUGAGGUACGAAAGCGUGGGGAGCAAACAGGAUUAGAUACCCUGGUAGUCCACGCCGUAAACGAUGAUAACUAGCUGUCCGGGCACUUGGUGCCUGGGUGGCGCAACUAACGCAUUAAGUUAUCCGCCUGGGGAGUCGUCGCAGAUAAACUUAAAGUAAUAGACGCGNGAGANGCGAGACGACACGAGGAGAG
rnacentral:rRNA from 1 species